AGAGAGAGACAUGCGCGCAUAUCAAUAAGCGGAGGAAAAGAAACUAACUAGGAUUCCCUCAGUAACGGCGAGUGAAGCGGGAAGAGCUCAAAUUUGAAAUCUUCAAGGUUCUACCUUGACGAAUUGUAGUUUAAAGAAGUGUUUUCUGUUGGAGUUUUGGUAAAGGUUCUUCGGAAUAGGACAUCAUAGAGGGUGAGAAUCCCGUAUUUGACCAUUAUUUCCAGCUUUGUGAUACACUUUCAAAGAGUCGGAUUGUUUGGGAAUGCAGUCCAAAAUGGGUGGUAAAUUUCAUCUAAAGCUAAAUAUUGGCGAGAGACCGAUAGCGAACAAGUACCGUGAGGGAAAGAUGAAAAGAACUUUGAAAAGAGAGUUAAACAGUACGUGAAAUUGUCAAAAGGGAAGCGUUUGACACCAGUGUUGUUUUCUCGAAAAUCAAUUAAAAAAGGCAGGAUUUUGUGUUGUAUUGACUUUAUCAGCUUUCUGCACUCUUUUCUUGUCUUUUUUAAUGCACUUUUCGUUUAACAAGUCAACAUCAAUUUCUUUUGUUGUAAAAGGGUCAUUGGAAGGUGGCUUUCUUUUCGGAGAAAGUGUUUAUAGCCUUUGGCCUCUGCAAUCGGAGAGAUUGAGGUCUGCAGCGUAGAUCCUUCGGGGUUAGAUACAUUUGUGCUAAGUUAUAGCCUUUCAUAGACAACUUGUUGACUAUGAUCAGUCAUGUAGCUUACUCGCUUAUGCUAUUUUACCUACGCUUAGGAUGUUGAUGUGAUACUGCGAGCA
rnacentral:rRNA from 1 species